CCUACGGGGGGCUGCAGUGAGGAAUAUUGGUCAAUGGACGGAAGUCUGAACCAGCCAUGCCGCGUGAAGGAUGAAGGCGUUCUGCGUUGUAAACUUCUUUUAUCAGGGAAGAAACCACAGAUUUCUAUUUGUGUUGACGGUACCUGAGGAAUAAGCACCGGCUAACUCCGUGCCAGCAGCCGCGGUAAUACGGAGGGUGCAGGCGUUAUCCGGAUUUACUGGGGUUAAGGGGUGUGUAGGCGGGCAUGUAGAAAUCUCCGAGCUCAACUCGGAAACUGCCUUGGAUACUAUUUGUCUUGAAUUAUGUUGAGGUAGGCGGAAUAUAACAUGUAGCGGUGAAAUGCAUAGAUAUGUUAUAGAACACCGAUUGCGAAGGCAGCUUACUAAACAUAUAUUGACGCUGAGGCACGAAAGCGUGGGGAUCAAACAGGAUUAGAUACCCUAGUAGUC
rnacentral:rRNA from 1 species